rnacentral:rRNA from 1 species
CCUACGGGAGGCAGCAGUGGGGAAUUUUGGACAAUGGGCGCAAGCCUGAUCCAGCCAUGCCGCGUGAGUGAAGAAGGCCUUCGGGUUGUAAAGCUCUUUCAGACGGAAAGAAAUCUUUUGGGUUAAUACCCUGGGAGGAUGACGGUACCGUAAGAAGAAGCACCGGCUAACUACGUGCCAGCAGCCGCGGUAAUACGUAGGUGGCAAGCGUUGUCCGGAUUUAUUGGGUUUAAAGGGUGCGUAGGUUGUUUUGUAAGUCAGUGGUGAAAUCCGGCAGCUCAACUGUCGAUGUGCCAUUGAUACUGCAGAACUUGAGUACAGACGAGGUAGGCGGAAUUGACGGUGUAGCGGUGAAAUGCUUAGAUAUCGUCAAGAACACCGAUAGCGAAGGCAGCUUACUAGACUGUAACUGACACUGAUGCACGAAAGUGUGGGGAUCAAACAGGAUUAGAUACCCUGGUAGUCCACACUGUAAACGAUGAUUACUCGAUGUUGGCGAUACACAGCCAGCGUCUUAGCGAAAGCGAUAAGUAAUCCACCUGGGGAGUACGCCCGCAAGGGUGAAACUCAAAUGAAUUGACGG